rnacentral:tRNA from 1 species
GCUGGUUAGCACAGUUGGUAGAGUGCUCCUUUGGAAGUAGAGAGGUUCCGAGUUCGAUACCCGGACCAGGCG